ACCCUCUGACCCAAUUUUUCUUUUGUAAAUCUAUUUACACCCAAUAGGUACAAUACCUUCAGGUGGAUCUACUAAGGACCAAACUUGGAUGGAAUGCAUGGAGUCAAUUUCUAACUUCAUUGCUUCCAUUCAUUUUUUAGAGUCUAUAUCUAACAUUACCUCAUCAUAGGUCUUGGGAUCAUUCUUAAUGUCCUUAUCUCCUAUAAGAAACUCUUCCUCUAAAUCCUUUGUAAGAAUAUC
rnacentral:lncRNA from 1 species